UAUCGUCGGGGCCGGGCAGAUAAUUGGCGUCCCAUGAGCGCAAGAAUCCAAAGCCGUCGGAAAGAACUUCGACGACGCCUUCACCGAUGAUGUCGGUUUCCUGGAUCGCAAGCUGCUUGAGAAUGGCGAACAUCAGCUCCUGCUUGCGCAUGGUGCUGGCAUUUUCGACCCCAAGCUCUUCGGCGAACGAGACAAGCUCCGCCGGAGUUUUGGUUUUGAGGUCCUGUAGUUUGAUUUCCCGCAUUGGGGUUGUCCUGUGGAGCAUGUGGAGAAAAAGAGAGGGGAGGGGAGCGGAAGGUUCAGCCUGCUGAC
rnacentral:misc_RNA from 1 species